UCACUGUGGCUGUGGACAAUGAGACCC
rnacentral:piRNA from 1 species